ensembl:snoRNA
AUUCUUUGUGGCUCAUAAGCACAUGUAGAUUUUCACACCAUUAUGCAAAACGUGCCUUCCUCAAACUUUGUUAUGAGACAUUGGCACUGUACCCAUCUGAUG